ensembl:lncRNA
GUGCCAAUGAGUUGGCCGUUGUGAGCAGAUUUUUUUCUAGAGAUUUUGGUGCUGACUGAGGCAUCUGCAUCAUCUUGGUUGCCCGAGUGUGGGAACCAUACCAUGUAGGGGAUUGACAGAAGAAACAAGGUAUAGUGGAUAGUGUCCUGUGUCAUCCAAGAAGAGACCACAGAGCCUGCAGAACUGAUACAGAGGAGAAGGCCAUGUGAAGACAGAGGCGGACUGGAGUGAUGCUGCCACAAGCCAAGGAACACCUGGAGUCACUAGUAGCUGGAAGAGGUCACACCCAAGGCACCACUGGGGUCUCUUCUGACCAGAUGAUGAAAUGGGAGAAAAAGGAUGUCAAUCCUUUGAAGAGUUCCAGCCGGCCUAAACUGCUCCACAAGAUGGCAUGGAGGAGACAAUGUCUACCAAAGCAACAAGUAAUGUGCUCAUGAGAGGGGUAUCAGCAUCGUUAAGAAGUUCAGUGGUGGCUGCCCUCUGUAAGCCAGAACUGACACUAGGAGAUGCCAUUACAGAACUGGAACUGCUGAGAGAAAAGCUGACAAUCAGAUUCUGAAACAGUAGAGGCAGGUGAUGAUGCAAACCAUCAGAAGCCAAGUGAUACAAUUAUUAUAAUCAGAAGAGUGGUCAGAGUGGCAGCCAGAGGGUUGCAAUCUGGCUCGAAGAGAUCUGAACCAUGAGAACAUUUUGUGGAAUGUAACAUGGGUCCACUAUAUAGAUGACAUCAUGGUAAUCUGGCUAGAUGAGCAAAAAGUGGCUGACACUUUGGAGGCCUUCUUAAGGCACAUGUAUAUGGGUAAGGGUAAGAAAGAAUCUCUGAUGAUUUGCAGGUCCACUGCAUCAAUGAAAUGUUUAGGGCUUCAGGGGUAUUGGGUAUUCCAGCAUGCCCACUUCCCCUACAUUCUAUAUUCCUUCCUCUACCCUCUAGCUGGGCAACUCAGGCUUUUCCCACUUCACUGGGUGCUGCCCACCAUCUUUUCUAGGCUUCUAGUUGCAAUCUUAGCAGCGAGUUUGCUCCAUGCCCUGGGGUCCUUGCCAAUGUCUUAAAUUCAAUGUCUUGAGAAAGUGCCCUGAAAUCAAUGAGUUUUUCAUUUUACAGGCUUGUAUUUUAGCCCCCCUUGAUUAGGCACCCUCAAAAUCCAAACCGAAGUGUACUCCCCUGAUUCUUCAUGGCACAUGCUAGUUAAUUCUUGCAACAGCUGUAGAGUUUUCCCUUCACUUAUCAGUCCCAGCACCUCCUCAGCUGGGUUAUGCUGAGAUUUAACUCUAGUUAUCAGCCUAGAAUCCAGGAAAGGAAGUGGCGGUAGCUCUGGGGUACAGUUUAGGGCAGCUGUUGUCUUGUGAAGGAGAGACCUCUGCAGCAUCUUCCAGCAUAGGGAAAAUGCUAGCUCUUCCUAGGGAAAGUGGGUGACCUCUACAAACCCAGAGGGUCUUGUAGAGUCAGCAUCUUCAGAGGCAUCCAUCCAGAUGUCCAGAUUCCAUGUUUUAAGGACCCAGGUUUGCCCCACUAGGGCCUUGACCUUUGCAUAACAAAAAUACCUUGGCUGAGCAUUCCAAUGGCUCUGAAGCUCUGUGACUCUGACAAUUUAGGUUUGCAGACUAUUGCACAUCUGUGUCUGCCCUUCCACCUCAGGAGAUCCAGGCCUCUUUGUAAGCUACCACAGACACCCUAUGACUCACAUUUACCCAGUAACUGCUUAAUAACAGCCCUCAGUCUUUCCUUCUCCUGCUGCAGGGCAUCAGUACAGCUUUACAGUAAGUAGUCAACUCUGCUGUCUUUGUAGGCUUUCUCCCUCUGUAUCUUUCGAAAGCCUGUAUCAUUGCACUUGCAGCACCACCCUUUACCAGGGCAUUUUUCAGGCUUCUUUUGGUGAAAUCUUUAUCAGUUGAGUCAGCAUCUUAUAACAGAUUCUAUCCAUGCCCCAUUGACCAAGGAUGGAGUCCUCUUUGCCCACUGGGCAGUGGGUGAGCCCAUUCCAAAUCCCCCUAUUAUACUUUUUCUCAGAUCAUUUCUAAUAUUGCAUGAGAAGCAGAUGAUAAGACAGACAGGAUUAAACAUGCAAGAAAUAUACUAGAGAAAAUGCCUAUCAGAGAAAAUGGAGGGGGAUCUGGGUAAGGCUGAGAGAGUUGUCAGGUUGCAAUGCAUGUCUAAGCUCCUGUGGCAGGAAGGAAGGUUGCAUGGAAGCUUCUCAGACUGAGUGCAAUUCUAAGGAAAGUUUGCGAAGACCAUCGCAGAGCCCUUGAGCCACUUUACUUCCCUGCUUGUCCUGCUGAAGUACCCAGUGUGAGGAAGACUAAGGGUUAUUUGUCCCAGAUAGUGGUGACAAGACGACAGCUCCACUAGUGACUUGGCUUUGGGAGAAUUGCAAUUCCAUGCCCAUGUAUUUCGAAAGCAAAUUAACCUGGUUAUGGAAUUCAUCAAACAGUGGGGGUUGCUUUUGUUAAUCACCAUCUGCCAUUUCUUUAAAUGUAGUGGCUUCUUUGGGAUUUAAUCAGCAAAUAACAAAAUGUGAUAAAAAUCACAGGUUAUUGUUUUAUAUUAUGUAACUGAGACAUUAGAGUGAUUCCAGAUAAACUAAAGUUGAGCUGCAUUCUUCUUUUGGAUGAACACUAUUAAUCAAGUAUAUUUUAUAAUUAUUGUUUAUUUAAUCAUUAAGCCUUGAGGGUAAGUUAAAGAAGAUUUUAAUUUUCUGGGAAAUGUAUACCAAAGCAUGAAGUCAGGAAAACUGCUAUAAAAGUCAAAGGAUAUCUAACAUGAUGGUGCUACCACAGCCGGCUAGUUCAUAAAUAAUAUUUGUAUAAUUUUAUAGGCUGGUUGCCAAUAUUUUUGUCAGUUAUUCCUGCUAAGGAAAUCUCUCCUUCCAAGAUAUUAAAGUUAGGCCUUACUGCAGAAAAUCCAUAAAUUUAUAAGAUUUUAAUAAAAACUCAUUAAUCAAAUUGUAUAGACAUGGG